GACGAACGCUGGCGGCGUGCUUAACACAUGCAAGUCGAACGGAAAGGCCCUGCUGUUGUGGGGUGCUCGAGUGGCGAACGGGGGAGUAACACGUGAGUAACCUGCCCUUGACUUUGGGAUAACUUCAGGAAACUGGGGCGAAUACCGGAUAGGAGCUCCUGCGGAAUGGUGGGGGGUGGAAAGGUUCGGCGGUUGGGGAUGGACGCGCGGCUUAUCAGAGUGUUGGUGGGGUAGUGGCUUACCAAGGCUUUGACGGGUAGCCGGCCUGAGAGGGUGACCGGCCACCUUGGGACUGCGCUACGGCCCAGACUCCUACGGGAGGCAGCAGUGGGGAAUAUUGCACAAUGGGCGGAAGCCUGAUGCAGCAACGCCGCGUGCGGGAUGACGGCCUUCGGGUUGUAAACCGCUUUCGCCUGUGACGAAGCGUGAGUGACGGUAAUGGGUAAAGAAGCACCGGCUAACUACGUG
rnacentral:rRNA from 1 species